GCCACCUUAGCUCAGCUGGUUAGAGCACCAGUUUUGUAAACUGGAUGUCCUGGGUUCGAACCCCAGAGGUGGCU
rnacentral:tRNA from 1 species